UACGUAUGGAGCAAGCGUUAUCCGGAUUUACUGGGUGUAAAGGGUGCGUAGGUGGCCAUGUAAGUCUGAUGUGAAAUACCGGGGCUUAACCCCGGAGCUGCAUUGGAAACUGGGUGGCUGGAGACCGGGAGGGGCAGGCGGAAUUCCUAGUGUAGCGGUGAAAUGCGUAGAUAUUAGGAAGAACACCGGUGGCGAAGGCGGCCUGCUGGACCGGGACUGACACUGAGGCACGAAAGCGUGGGGAGCAAAC
rnacentral:rRNA from 1 species